rnacentral:rRNA from 1 species
AUGGGGUCCGGCACCUGGCGCAAGGCCUACGGCGCCCUCAAGGACUCCACCAAGGUUGGCCUCGCCAACUUCAACAUCGAGUACAAGGAUUUGGAUAUCGCCAUCGUGAAGACGACGAACCACGUGGAGUGCCCGCCCAAGGAGCGGCACUUCAGGAGGAUAGUGUUUGCGAACUCGGCAAAUCGCCCGCGAGCCAGGAUGUCCAAGACCAAGAGUUGGAUAGUGGGUUCCUUGUUUGUGUAUCUUGGUAGUAGUUCCUUGUCUGUUUAUCUAUGCCGAUUGAUAAUCCUUGAUUCAAUCAUCUCCACAAGACUACAGUUCUUUAUUGGGAACGAAGGAUUCGUCUAUAUUUCUUCCACUCUGUUUGGAUUUCUAGGAAGUCUUUUGCCUAUUGUGCAGCACAUGAGUUCAAAUAUUUCUUAUUUGAUGUAG